AUCUUUAUAUAUCCUUACUUUUAUUCUCAAGGAGGUGGUUCCACAAGAUUAGAUCGAGCAGAAAUGAAGAGGGUGGAUGCAGAGAUCUAUUAGCUCUCUCCUCUUUCCUCACAGGUCAUUCCAAGAAAAGUCGUGUGACUGGAACCACAAUGGCAGAUGCAAAGAUCUGGCAGGUCCUCCUUUCUCUUUCUUUGCUAAUCAGGUGUAACUAUUCAAAGACACUAAAGAGACUUCCUGGCAAAAAGCUGUGGCCUGCUGCCGGAUGACCUGGAAGAGG
rnacentral:lncRNA from 1 species